rnacentral:rRNA from 1 species
UAGAGUUUGAUCCUGGCUCAGGAUGAACGCUGGCGGCGUGCCUAAUACAUGCAAGUCGAGCGAACAGACAAGGAGCUUGCUCCUUUGACGUUAGCGGCGGACGGGUGAGUAACACGUGGGUAACCUACCUAUAAGACUGGGAUAACUUCGGGAAACCGGAGCUAAUACCGGAUAAUAUUUCGAACCGCAUGGUUAGAUAGUGAAAGAUGGUUUUGCUAUCACUUAUAGAUGGACCCGCGCCGUAUUAGCUAGUUGGUAAGGUAACGGCUUACCAAGGCGACGAUACGUAGCCGACCUGAGAGGGUGAUCGGCCACACUGGAACUGAGACACGGUCCAGACUCCUACGGGAGGCAGCAGUAGGGAAUCUUCCGCAAUGGGCGAAAGCCUGACGGAGCAACGCCGCGUGAGUGAUGAAGGUCUUCGGAUCGUAAAACUCUGUUAUUAGGGAAGAACAUACGUGUAAGUAACUAUGCACGUCUUGACGGUACCUAAUCAGAAAGCCACGGCUAACUACGUGCCAGCAGCCGCGGUAAUACGUAGGUGGCAAGCGUUAUCCGGAAUUAUUGGGCGUAAAGCGCGCGUAGGCGGUUUUUUAAGUCUGAUGUGAAAGCCCACGGCUCAACCGUGGAGGGUCAUUGGAAACUGGAAAACUUGAGUGCAGAAGAGGAAAGUGGAAUUCCAUGUGUAGCGGUGAAAUGCGCAGAGAUAUGGAGGAACACCAGUGGCGAAGGCGACUUUCUGGUCUGUAACUGACGCUGAUGUGCGAAAGCGUGGGGAUCAAACAGGAUUAGAUACCCUGGUAGUCCACGCCGUAAACGAUGAGUGCUAAGUGUUAGGGGGUUUCCGCCCCUUAGUGCUGCAGCUAACGCAUUAAGCACUCCGCCUGGGGAGUACGACCGCAAGGUUGAAACUCAAAGGAAUUGACGGGGACCCGCACAAGCGGUGGAGCAUGUGGUUUAAUUCGAAGCAACGCGAAUAACCUUACCAAAUCUUGACAUCCUUUGACAACUCUAGAGAUAGAGCCUUCCCCUUCGGGGGACAAAGUGACAGGUGGUGCAUGGUUGUCGUCAGCUCGUGUCGUGAGAUGUUGGGUUAAGUCCCGCAACGAGCGCAACCCUUAAGCUUAGUUGCCAUCAUUAAGUUGGGCACUCUAAGUUGACUGCCGGUGACAAACCGGAGGAAGGUGGGGAUGACGUCAAAUCAUCAUGCCCCUUAUGAUUUGGGCUACACACGUGCUACAAUGGACAAUACAAAGGGCAGCNAAACCGCGAGGUCAAGCAAAUCCCAUAAAGUUGUUCUCAGUUCGGAUUGUAGUCUGCAACUCGACUACAUGAAGCUGGAAUCGCUAGUAAUCGUAGAUCAGCAUGCUACGGUGAAUACGUUCCCGGGUCUUGUACACACCGCCCGUCACACCACGAGAGUUUGUAACACCCGAAGCCGGUGGAGUAACCAUUUGGAGCUAGCCGUCGAAGGUGGGACAAAUGAUU